CGGAUGAUCACUACUUGCAUGCAUGCGAAGGUGGAAAAAUCAAACAGGGCUUGCUGGCCCUGUAGAAUUACUAUGGAACUCUGAAAGGAAGAUAUUUGUCUUCCUAAGGGAAAAGACUGUGGGUUUUGGUCUACCCGAGUGGAACAGAAAAAUAAACGACAAGAGCUUUUGGAACCAACAUCAUGGCACUGAGAAUGGAACUAUUGCAUUGGAGAGAGUUGUUCAUGCAUACCAACAAGAGAAUAAAGGUGAUGUGGUUGAAGUUUGUGGAGCAGAAAAAGGAUGAAAAGAAGGAUGAGGAGAAGAUGAAGACGGAGAAAAGAAGAAAGAAGUGGAGGAAAUGAAAGGAGGGAAACACAGGAUAAAACAGCAAGAGGUGGUGGAGGAGGAGGAGGGAAGACAGGAGCAAGAAUUGCUCUCUGCUGAACAAUCUGAAUUUUAAAACAAAAUAUUUGUUGGAAGAAUUAAAUCCAAGCUUCAUAGUGAGCUGAAUCUGUUCAUGGAGCUCAUUGUUUCUGAGAAGGAGGAGGUAAAAACAUGUAUGCUGUGUAAUAUUUCUUAUGAAACAAUUGCUCUUCUUUAGAAAAAGAGCAGAGGAUUCAGAUGCUCCACAAAACUUAGAAAUACCAUAUGUAUAUUUCAUAGUUCUGAAAAAUUAGAUUAAAAAUGACUACUUUGAAAUAAGGCUAGAAGUUAGGCAGUCUUAAASAGACAGAGGAACAAACAAUACAGGCACAGAUGAAUUUGUGUAUAGAUUUUUAAAAAUUUAUUUUAACUUACAAUCCUAUUAAAAAGGAAGUAGUUGCAUGUUUGGUAUGUUGCUCUAGAGAGCCCAAACACCACAGUUCCCCACAAUUCUCAGUUUACAACACCACAAGACAAACCACACAUGCCAUUCUUUAUUUGUUUCCUGGGAAGAUGUUUCAUACAAAAACACAAAGUAUGUAUAUUUGCAUGCUGCCCCACCUCAUUGUGAAAGCAUGUUCUGAAUUAGAGAGUGACUCAUUUUUAUUCCAUUUGUCAUAUUUAAUCUUUUCUAAUUAAACAUUGUUUACUAGAUCAAGAGUGAUGGGACGUUCUUAAAACAACAAAAAGGAGCUUUCUAAUCGGACUUGGUUACAUGCCCAGGCCAGGGGAGUGACACGAUUUCUUGCAGAAGACGAUUCAGAUUUUAAAACUAGUGAAAUAUACUGGCUUUCUUGGCAACUCAAACAGGAAACCAGACAAGCAAUAAAACUACAGGAAACACAUCA
rnacentral:lncRNA from 1 species